rnacentral:lncRNA from 1 species
AAUACCCGCGACGCUCGGAUCGGAGUCUGACGAUGGUCAGCAGGUGGCACUCUCGUUUUAGGAUUCCAGCCCCUAAUUCUUUCAGAGUAAAUACUGAAAAGUCAAAGGACCUGUCAAGAUCAUCGGCCAUGACAGUGGCUGGAUGGAGGCCACCUCAUCCAUCUGGUCCUGGCAUUUCUGAGAAAGGACCAUGCUGAACCAUGCAGAGCAAAUUUGCAAGGUUAUAAUUCUUUGAUUUGGGUAAAGUGUCUGGUGUUGGAGCUGAGAGGCAUCAAUGGAUAAUACUUUUUAUGCUAUUUGCUCUUCUUUAGUGCUAUCUCAUGGACUGCCUCAUUGGUUGUCACAAUAAUACUGUGAGGUAGGUAGAACAAGUAUCAGCAUCCCCCGUUUGACCUCAUGGGAAGCAGACACAAUUUUUUUUUGUGUGUGUGAUGGAGUCUCACUCUGUCACCCAGGCUGGAGUGCAGUAGCAUGAUCUCGGCUCACUGCAACCUCCAUAUCCCUGGUUCAAGCAAUUCCCCUGCCUCAGCCCCCUGACUAGCUGGGAUUACAGGCACCUGCCACCACACCUGGCUACCUUUUUUGCAUCUUUUGUAGAGACGGGGUUUCACCAUGUUGGUCAGGCUGGUCUCGAACUCCUGACCUCGUGAUCCACCCACCUUGGCCUCCCAAAGUGCUGGGAUUACAGGCGUGAGCCACUGCUCCCGGCCGCAGACACACUUUUCUCUACAGUGUGAGAGAGAGGUGCCCUGUUUGGCCAAAACCAGGAGUAGCACAGAGUCUGCCCUGCACUUUUGGUGUCACCCUAAUAAUCCUUGGGAAAAUUACAGAGUAAGACAAAAAGAAGAACCUUCAAGAAAAGUAGGAAUCAAACACUGCGAGCUAUUCUAAUUCUAAAGGGUCAAGAGAAUAAUAGCUUUAUCCUGUCACCUAAACAGUUGGGAUUCCAUUUGAGAACCAACUCUAGUCAGCCUUCAGGCUGGUCCAUGAUCAAGGACCUACAAGACGAAGUGACAGCCCAGUGACUCUACAAGUUCACCUGUCCCUCAUCUCCACAGCCCUGCAGCAUCAAUGGGCAUGCUGUGAAUGCUGGAGGACUGACCAGCAUGCCCCGAUUGUUCUCUAUUACUUGGAGUGUUAAGUCUUAUCUCCUUGGCUAGAUUGAAAGAAUCGGGAAUAGAAGCUAUAUGCUAGAAAGCCAUGCACAGCCAGCCACUGUGGCUGUCCUACCUGGUAGCCCAGCUCACAUGAGACUGACCCAGGACACCACGGGACCACUCCAGACCCCCUGUUAACCUUUCCUGGCACAUCCAAGCAAAGGGCUGAUACUCACUGCAAGGUGGUGCCCCACCUUUCCACAGCCCAUCACCACCACCACCCUCUUCUCCAGAAUCUAGCUCUUUAGGCUAAUAUGGAAAUGAAGAAAAGAGGAUUUGUCCACGCAUGUGACUGAGGAGAUAGUUGGAGAGAUGGUCUUAGGGAAAGGUGGGUACAGUGAGGCAAAUGUCACCGUUUUCUCUCUCUCUCUCUCUCUCCCAGUCUAUCUUUGCUUAUCUUCGUAAAUUGGCUUCUUUCCCUCACCCUAAUCCAAACAGAUUAGAUCUAUUUGUCAUGGGGUACUGCUAAAACCAGGCUUAUGUCCUGUCAAGAGUAGCAACCCCAGAGGAAAGAGCCGCUCACUCCUGCUUCAGUAUAGAGAAUUCCCAGGGCCAAUUCUCAUUGGCCCAGCUUGGGUGACAUUUCCCUACUUUGACCUGUCAUCAGGUGUGAGGCUGGUGUUAGGAUUUUGCAGGGCGGUUAGUCGGGUGUUCAGGAAUAUGAUUGGAAUCCCCACCACAAACCCAGAAUCAACAGGAGCUGGGGCAAAUCAACAGGAGCUGGGGCAAAUCAGCAGGAACUGGGGCAAGGCAGUCUUCCAAAGGAAGGGACUAUUGAUGAUGCAGACACCAACUGUCUACCAUGAUGGUUUGUUCUGAAGAGUAACAUAUGAUUUGUGCAGCAGAAUUCCUCAUAAUAAUGAAGAAAACAAUGAGAGAUCAUGAAUGUUUGACCCCAUAUAUACACACACGUCUGCACAACUACCUACUGGCAAAUUCUCCUGGGGUGAGCAGUGGAAUUCAGUUCAGAAGUGAUCUUUUUUGGCAGAAACAAGUCAGGAGGAAUUCUACGUGAACACCAUCGGCCCUUGGUGUUAUGCCUGGCUCAAGCCAGCAUUAUCUGUCAUUCAGUUUCAGGAGCAUCUGACACACCUUUUCAUGCUGAGAGCUAAUUGCCCUAUUUUCAAACCUGGACCUGUCCCUCCAGUGAUAUUUUUCCAAUUGCAGUGAUAUAUUUGUGUAGCCAGCAAGCACUGCCAAAGCUAUAGCUAUUCUGGAGUGUCGUUGGGGUAGGGAGCAGGGGAAUUAUGCAGCAAUACAGUAAACAAAAGUAAAGCCUCU